CUGGCAUAAACAUUGAUAUGUCAACCACAAUCCGCCCGGGGACUACAAGCGUAGUUUGAAACCCAAAGGACUUGGCGGUGCUUUAGACCCACCUAGAGGAGCCUGUUCUAUAACCGAUAACCCCCGUUCAACCUCACCCUCCCUUGUUUUACCCGCCUAUAUACCGCCGUCGUCAGCUUACCCUUUGAGGGUUAACAGUAAGCAAAAUUAGCACAGCCCAGAACGUCAGGUCGAGGUGUAGCGUAUGAGAGGGGAAGAAAUGGGCUACAUUCACUAGCCAGUGACACGGAAGAUGUACUGAAACGUACACCGAAGGAGGAUUUAGCAGUAAGUAGAGAAUAGAGCGCUCACUGAAACUGGCCCUGAAGCACGCACACACCGCCCGUCA
rnacentral:rRNA from 1 species